UACGUAGGGUGCAAGCGUUGAUCGGAAUUACUGGGCGUAAAGCGUGCGCAGGCGGUUGGGCAAGACCGAUGUGAAAGCCCCGGGCUUAACCUGCGAAUGGCAUUGGUGACUGCACGGCUAGAGUGUGUCAGAGGGGGGUAGAAUUCCACGUGUAGCAGUGAAAUGCGUAGAGAUGUGGAGGAAUACCGAUGGCGAAGGCAGCCCCCUGGGAUAACACUGACGCUCAUGCACGAAAGCGUGGGGAGCAAACAGG
rnacentral:rRNA from 1 species